UCUGCGUCUUCCGUGGGUCUGCCUCCCGCUCCCGUGCUUCCGCCCCCUCCACGCUUCGUCGCUCCCCCGCUCGAGCAGAGAGCAGUUGCCAGCUCGCGCCGCUGCCCUCCACCACCACGUCCCCGCUCCCCCACCCUGACGCCCCGACCGACGCGUCGCCUCCGACGGCGCCGACCGCCCGCUGCAUUGCCUCCCCACUCGUGCCCAGCCGCUGGCUCCACUCAAGGACGCGAUGCCCCCUGCCCGGGUCCGUGCGUCUGCCGCUGCCUCGCCACCUGUGCCCGUGAAGACCGAGGAGCCCGAGCCGUCUUUGGUUCCUUCCUCGGCAACAGCAACAAGGGGCCGCGGUCUCCGCUUUCCGGCCUCGCGGGACGCAUCCUUGCCGCUCGCCCUGCGCCUCCUCCUCCACCCUGACCAGCAAGCAGAGCAGGCUGCCGCUCCUCCUCCCUGACCAGCAAGCAGAGUAGGCUGCCGCUCGCCCUGCGCCUCCUCAGGUUUACAACAUUUUAAGAGCUUCCCCUUAGGACAACCUAUAAAUCAAUUCGGAGGACAAACAGCCAACCAUUUCCUUGGUUUGGAACACCCAUUGUCUGCAAGCAGGGGCCAUCUGUUCCAAAAAAAACUGUGAGCACAGAUCAUUAGUUAGAUUUUAGUUUCAAUGCAACAUAAAAAUCUGUUGGUUUUCCUACUUCCUAUGGAUUAGAAUAAUCUAUACUUGUACUCAAUUGGCAGCUAAACUGUUGUGAUUUAAAUUUGAAUUCUAGCUAUGGUGGCUUCUUGUCUGGUUCUGCUCAAGGUUGUUCCUGGUACAUCAACAGCUGCUACUCCUCACGUGUCCGUUUUUGUUCAUCAAUUCAUUCUGGCUUCCAUAUGUGAUAUGUCUCAUGCGUGCUAUGCAUUCGAUGAAAUUUGUGUGGAGAACCUUGACAUCAUUUGAUUCUUUUUUUUUUUUGAAAGGAAUGACAUCAUUUGAUUCUGUAUCUGUUGUGUUCAAGCAACAAAAUCAAGUUCUGACAAAUUUGAAUAAAAAUAAUCAAGGCAGUGUUUUCGAAUGCCUCAGUAAAUGGGAAUCUGCCAAUGCUAUGUAGAGUGCUUUUUGGCAGUGCUUGUUGCUGAGAAGAAGCGCUUGUCUGCAUCAAGUGUAUGUCAGAAUUUCAGACUACUGCAACAGCUAAUGGAGGUUCACUUUUGAGACAAGCAAUGUUGCUACCAUUUGACAACAACAUGGCACCCCUAGCAACACACGGGCAUUCAACUAGUUGUAAUAUAAUCUCCGAACUCAACCAUGUCAUUUGUAAUUACCAUCAACUUAAUCUUGACCGGCAUCUGACUUGACAGUUGAUAUAUAGUCGAAGGAGCACCUGACUGUAUUUGUGUAUUAUUGGUCGCCGGCGAGUUGCUUGCUCAAGUUGAACAUUGUUUGCUACUUUGCCCUCUCAUGAUUGUUGAUUGGUAGCAUCAUUGCUUCAUCGUCGCCGCCGAUUAUUGGUGCAACUGAAGUUGAAAAAUGCACCGUGUAUAAGCACCGCCGAUCAUUGGCCUGCACAAUUGGAUGGUUAUUGGUUGGACCGGCAGCACCGGACAAGCCUGCACGUUUGCCAUGGCCAGCAGCGGGGAUCCUCGUGACGGGCAGGUAUGGCGCGGCCGCCAGACCUUGCUAUAGUGGUCGGAGCUAGCAAAGCCUAUAUAGAGAUGGAUUUUCAUGCAAGUAAGAGCACGAGACCGGCUACAAGCUGAUGGUGCUGUGAGGAUGAGCAGAGUUAUCCUGGAGGUACAUGCCGCCAUUAUGGUGAACGCGAAGCAGGCCAUCGACGGUUCAGCUUUUGACCUCUCUGCUGCAUGUAGCUGUCACCUGCUGGGCUGCUAGGGUUCACUGCCAUCGGCCAGAAGAGGAAAGGACGUGAUCACACGAGAAGGGGGAAGUGGAAUUGGGAUGGAUUGGUACCGGUUGGAGGUCGCGACUGGACCUAGAAGAGGUUAAGUGAGCCAUUUGAACACAAGAGGCAAUAUGAGAUUGGGAAGUCUAUUUUGUGAUAAUAGAUCAUCUCCAAGAGACACCCUAAAUCAUCUCUCUCCCUUCUCUGAUCUGAGAAUAAACAUCUAUACCCUAUCCCAAAUACUUGCUAUUUUAGAACCGGAUCUUAGACCUUCAACCUUUAAAUUCGUGUGUCAUAUUUUCCUAAUAUAUCAAGGUUCAAAUAAUAGGAUAUGCGGUACAAGGGAAGUACCAUGGGGACACAAGAAUACAUGGAGAAGUAAUAUUUAGGAUGAUCCUCUACUUAAAGGAUAAACAGAGUUAGAGAUUACUCUUCCAAAUUAUAGGUUGAUGAUUUUUUUAGAUCAAGUUUCACCACUCGUCUUAUUCAAAAAAUUUGUGCACACAUAGUCAAAUUUAAAUCAUUUUUAAAGAACUUGUAUUAAUAAAGCAAGUCACAACAAAAUAAAUGAUAUUUUGCACAAAUUUUUAAAUAAGACGAGUGUUCAAACUUGGAGUCAGAAAAGUCAAGCGAUCUAUAAUUUGAAACGGAGAGAGUAGAAUUUAAGAAUUAUUUUAGUAAUGCUCUUAUUUUCUAUUUUUAAUACAUAUACAUACUAUGUAUUUGAAUAGCCUUGAAUCAAUACCAGAUCCGCCCUU